rnacentral:rRNA from 1 species
AUUGAACGCUGGCGGCAGGCCUAACACAUGCAAGUCGAACGGUAACAGGAAACAGCUUGCUGUUUCGCUGACGAGUAGCGGACGGGUGAGUAAUGUCUGGGAUACUGCCUGAUGGAGGGGGAUAACUACUGGAAACGGUAGCUAAUACCGCAUAACGCCGCAAGACCAAAGAGGGGGACCUUCGGGCCUCUUGCCAUCGGAUGUGACCAGAUGGGAUUAGCUUGUUGGUGAGGUAACGGCGCACCAAGGCGACGAGCCCUAGCUGGUCUGAGAGGAUGACCAGCCACACUGGAACUGAGACACGGUCCAGACUCCUACGGGAGGCAGCAGUGGGCAAUAUUGCACAAUGGGCGCAAGCCUGAUGCAGCCAUGCCGCGUGUAUGAAGAAGGCCUUCGGGUUGUAAAGUACUUUCAGCGGGGAGGAAGGGAGUAAAGUUAAUACCUUUACUCAUUGACGUUACCCGCAGAAGAAGCACCGGCUAACUCCGUGCCAGCCGCCGCUGUAA